GUAUGUGCUUACCUUAGUUAUUACAUUUCUUAAUCUCCAUGUUAGCUUAUAAAAUGGGAAAUGCCAACCUUCAUAACUUAAAUCAAAUAAGAAAAAAAAUACCAGCAAAACUUUAACAACUCUCCAAAUGUAAACAUUAAAUUUCCUACUCAUAUUUACUGUGCCCAGUCUUUCAAUUUACAUGUAAUAUUAUAUGACUGGAAGUAAAAUGGUCUUUUAAAAAUCCCAAGGAGUAUUACUAUGGAGAUUACGAAGGAGAAAUAUAUGUAUAAACAUACAUACAUACACAUAUAUGUAUAUAUACAUCAUUACCAUGAUGUAUAGAGAAAUACUAUUCUCAAAGGAAGGCAUUUACAUUUUGAUUCUCUUCAGUUCAAUACUUUGUUAAAAGCAACCCACGAAAAAGAGAUCUAUAUGACUACUUCCCCUUCUUCCAAAUUCACUUACUCCAUAAGCCAAGUGUUUUUGUUUUUGUUGUUCUUAUUUUACUAUUUUGGCUUUUAUUUUUUUCAAUAAGAAAUGAAGACAAAAAAAAAAAAAAAAAAAAGAAAUGAAGACAGACCAGAUUUGUUUUCCUAAAAAGCAAUUUUAAAGCAAAGAAUGUCCAUUAUAUUUCUGUAGUAAAAAUCGUCAGUCUGUUUACAAAGAGUUACUUCUUGGUUUCUAUUACAUGCAUAUUGGACCACUUAAUGUUACCUCACAUGUCAAAACAGAACUAACUUUGUUUUUUUGUUUCUUUCAAAAUAUAGAACACUGAACAAAUUUAUGUGUCAUCCUGUGCAGGGGCCAUGCUAAUCUCUGCAUUGUUUUAGUUUUAGUAUAUGUGUUGCUGAAGUAAGCACAAAAACAAAACUACUUAAAAAAAAAUAUUUCCCCUAUUAUUCAAAUUGGAUAUUAAUCUGUCUACAGUUUCACUGAUCAUUUUGUCAUCCUCUCUCAUCUUCUAUUAAGCCUAUUUAAUGAAUUUUUCAUUUCAAGCAUUGUAAUAGUCCCUUCUAGAAUUUCAACAUAAUUAUUUUUACAUUAACCAUAUCAAUGCUAGGAUUCUAAAUCUAUUCAAUUAUUUUAAUCUUGGUUUCACUUAUGUUAUUGAUUGUAUUUACAACAGGGAAUAUAAAAUUUUUAUCUGUUAAUUUCAAUAUUGGAAACAUCUGAGUCAUCUCUGGGCUUGUUUUUUUGUUUGUUUUGUGUGGUUAGGUUUUUUUUUUUUUUUUUUUUUUUUUUUUUUUUUUUUUUAAUCUUGAACAAUGGCUGUCAUUUUCCUGUGUCUUUAUGUGUUAAAAAACUUUAUAUUUAUUUUGCUUAUCAGUGAAUAUACAUUAUAAAGACUCUGAAUUUUGUUAUCUGUCUUUUAACAGUGUUGAGUUUUGUUCCAGAAGUCAGAUAAAUUAAAAACUGAUCCUUUUUGUCUGGAGAUACAUCAGAUAAGUCUGUUUCAGUUUUGCUCUUUGUUCUCAAUGAGUCCCUUAAUUCUGGGACACAGUCUCUUCUAAGCAUGGACCUUUUGGAAUGCUUUUAAAUGAAACCUCAGAGUGUGCACUUUGCUUCCCUAACUUGUGCUAUUCAAACUCCAAACUCUUUCUCUUCUGCCCUGGUGGCCAGCAGAAAUAUCAGCUUUUUAAACCUUCUACCGCUUGCUUUCCUUUGGAAUACUGUGAAUCUUUCCAAACCAAGCACUAUUCAUGGGGCAUUCAUAGUUUUGAGGGGUGUUUAUAUCCAGAUGUAAGGCACAAUCCUCUGUAGCUCUUUGUAUUCCAGGACUUUCUUAGUUUAUAUCUGCUUUGGGACCUCUGAAUUUUGUUAUUUGAUAUAUCAUAUCAAUAAGCUAAUCUUCUGUAUUUUGAGGUGCCGUGUACUUUAUAGACUACAAGGGAAAAGGUGAUAAAAAGCUGGAUUAAUCAGUGAAUUACCAUCACUCAAAAAUUAAAUCCUCCCUAGUUUUUCCCUUAUUUUUAGGUCUCUCCCAAUUGUUUUAAAUAUUUCUCUUAACAUAUUUUAACCUAUAAUUAAUAAUUAAAUGUUAUAUCCUUUAGGAGAUAACUAGAACUGGAUCAUCCUCUUUUUUUUUUUUUUAACAUAGCUUUCUUCAAAGUUCAUGGAGCAAAUAAAUAUAGAAAAUCAAUAAGAAUAUAGAAAAUAUGAAGGACGAAAUUAGCAAGACUGACAGAGAAAUAGCAUUCAACCAACAUUUAAAGAGUACACAAGGAAAAAAAAAA
rnacentral:snRNA from 1 species